rnacentral:snoRNA from 1 species
GCCCUCUCAGGGUCGCACCUGGAGAGUUUCCAGUACUCCACCAGUCUCGACUACGGGAGGGAGAAUCGAGCAGAGGUCUACCUAUUCCAAUCCUAGCUUGGGCAGUGGCUAGUGAGUGGAAGGCAAUCUGCUACAAGU